rnacentral:rRNA from 1 species
GAUGAACGCUGGCGGCGUGCCUAAUACAUGCAAGUCGAGCGACAGGACGAGAAGCUCGUUUUCUUGCUGUUAGCGGCGGACGGGCGAGUAAGAAGUGGAUCACCUUCUUCUUUUUCUGGGAUAAUUUCGGGAGAACGCUUAUGCUACUAGCUCAUACUUUGAACCGCUUGGUUCAAAAGUGCAUCACGGCUUUCCCGUUAGUUAUAGAUGGUUUCGCGCUGCAUUAGCUAGUUGGUAAGGUAACGGCUUACCAAGGCGACGAUGCAUAGCCGACCUGAGAGGGUGAUCAGCCACACUGGAACUGAGACACGGUCCAGACUCCUACGGGAGGCAGCAGUGGGGAAUCUUCGGCAAUGGGCGAAAGCCUGACGGAGCAACGCCGCGUGAGUGAUGAAGGUCUUCGGGUCGUAAAGCUCUGUUAUUAGGGAAGAACAGAUGUGGAAGUAACUGUGCACGUCUUGACGGUACCUAAUCAGAAAGCCACGGCUAACUACGUG